UACCCGGGCUCUCGACUGAACCUCUGAGAGUUAAGAUUUUAAAGAAAAGGUGCAUUUCACUCUACAGUAACCAUAGUCUACAUACAGUUUGAGUAUCUGUAUUUGUUGUUUGUGGGCAGGAAAGCCAUAUUUCAUUAUUUACCGGGGAGGUUUGCAGGAGUUUGGUUAUAAAAUGACAAUUCA